AAUCGAUUUUAUUUUGUAUAUGAUUACAAAAUUAAUAUAAGUGUACAGUCAUUGUAAAGGUAAAUUGCGGGGAUUUUAUAAAUAUUAAAGCGAGAUUGAUACCACUGUGGUGUGAAAUAAUUAGUAUUUCACACACACACACACAGUAGUCGUAUUGUUUUGCUUUCAAAACUUUUUAAGGCAAUUUCACUUUGUUGGCUAACGAUUCAUAUGAACUCUACGCAAUCAUAUAAAUUUUGUUUUAUUAUCUUGCUUUGGUUUCAUAUUAAUCAAACAUUUUUAUCAAAUUAACGAUUAUAGAACUAAAUCAGUCAUUUUAAAUAAUUUACGUGUGGAGUAUUUAUUAUUUAUUCAAGUAAUCGAUUUUAAUUUUAAAGAGGCAACAUUGGUGUUGGUGUCUCAAAUUGAAUUGUCAUUGUCAAAAAGUUCAAUGUUAAUUGCGCGUGGUGCAUGCUGAGUUUAUUAUUCGUUGCGAUCUAAAGUUUGCCAAAGAAGAGAAAAAAAAAAUACAUAUUACAGUUUUUUUGUGUUGAUCGAGUCCUACUCUCCACAGUAAUUGUGAUAUUCAUUGUAACUAUUUGUUUAAUUUUAUUUUCAAUCACUGUCGCUAACUUUAAUGAGAAAUUGUUAAUCUUACGCCGGACGUUUUUACGCCAGGAAGUUUUUAUUUUCUUUGAAGUUUGUGUGUGAUUCGUAUUUGUUGUAUUGUAUUGUAUUAUACUACUUAGCGACUACUGAAAAUGUCGACCACUUCGCGUGAGGCACCGACAACAAAAACAAUCGACCGGCGAAACCGGUGUAUCAACUGUUGCUUUGCAAUCCUAAGAAACCAACGCAGGUAUUCUUUGGAACAAGCUACUACUCAGAUGAUCGAUGUGUUACAGUGGAUAACUCCUACUUAGCUGUCUCUAGAAGUAUAAUUUGUUCUGAGUGUUUUGGACUCCUUCAAAAUCAAGUUAACACAAUGAACAAAGGAAUUGCUAUGCCUUUGCCUGCUCUUGGAGAAUCUGUUUUUCUUGUGGAAAUUCCAUUUUACAACCACCAAGAACAUGAUCGACAAGAAAGAAACAUUUUAAUGAGACUGGUUCCACUGCACUUGGUUUCCAGAUUGGAACGUGUAUGUGCUGCAUGUUGGAGAUCAGCUAGGAGAGAAGUACAGAGGCAACAGCAGCAUGAUUCAAAUCGUCCUUGUGUAGCACAUGCCGAGUCCAGUGAUGAUUUCAAUAUUCCUGAGCCAUCUCGUCUACCAUCUUUAAGACCAGUAGUAGUUCAAUUAGCAACACCAAAAAUCACAUCAUCUUUAUAUAGACGUGCUGCAAACACGUCUGGCCACUGCAUAUUCGUUAAUUGUUUUGAAAAUGAACAUCCACUUGUACCAUGUGCUAUAAAAGAUUUAUUAUUAUAUCAUUAAUCAUUAUACAUUCUUUGUACCAUCUGGUGCACGUGAUUGCCACCACUUGGAUCACGGUUCUUCAAAAGAAUGAAUUCACCUCCCAAUUGAAUGAUUUUACCGGUAGUCAAUUUGAUAAUAUUAUGACUAUAAAUCAGCGAGCAGCUAAUAACAGAUUUGAUUUUUAAAUGUUACGAUGAUGCCUUCAUAUUUAUGUCAUUAUUGGCUUGUAUUCAAUGCUGACCAGUUUUAUGAUUUUCUUAACAAUAUCCCAAAUCUAGCAGAACAGGUACCAAAUGCUUCCAUAGCCUUGUGCAUAUAUUUAGUUAAGAACUGGUGACAGCAAUGAAAGGUUGGCUACUCUUUUUAAUAAACCUCAAACCACUUUAGAAUGGUGGAUGUCAAAAGCAAGAAAUGGUUUAAUGAGUGAUUUUGUCCCCUUGCACUUAGGAUUUAAUCAUCUUACUGUAAAAGAUGUUGCUUCUCGAAAUAAGAGUAUACCAGAAGGACUGUUUAGUAAUCCUGAUUUGCCACCACAUGUUAAACCUGCAAUAGUUAUAAAUGUGAUGCCACCUAUGUUUUUGUGCAAAAUAGUUCAAAUUAUUUGUUUCAGAAACAAACCUACAGUUUAUAAAAACUAGACAACUUAGUUAAACCAUUUUUGAUUGUGUGUUGUGAUGGCCACAUUGUGGAAUGUCUUGGUCCAUACAAAGCCACUCUUAAUGAUGCUACAAUCACAAGUUUAAACUUAAAUAAUGAGGGAUCUUCUAUUACAACAUUUUUUGGAAGAGGUGAUAUUUUUCUUCUUGAUAGAUUGGAUUUUGAGAUGUUAUAAAUUAGCUCUAAGAACACGGUUUUGUUACCCACAUGCCAGUCUCUUCUCGAAAAUGAUCACCAAUUAAUAACCCAGCAGGCAAAUCGGUCUCAUCUAGAGGUAGUAACCAUGUGGCGAUUGCCACAUAUUUCGCACUUUCUCUGCAAACAUUCUGUGUUAUAUGAAUCGCAACACAACGUGGUUAUUAUUUCUUCUGGUUUCUUUUCAUUUAUUAUAGAUGCUUUAUACAAAGCACUUACCAACAACUCCAUAUUCACAUGAGUAGCACACAUGCACGUUUCUCUAUUAGCUGGUUUAGGUGGUAGUACCCAGAAAGGACGAUUUUUGCAAAAAAAUGAAUAAUGAAUGCGAUUAUUGGUUUCAUUUUUAAAUUUUUUGUAUAAAUCUACAAACGGCGCUGUUAGGUAUCGCUUUUGCAUUCUUUUCUUAUUUCUUGUUAUAUAUUCUUUUUUUCCAGCAGCAACGGUACUAUUAGCGUCCUCACAAUGAAAUGAAAUGAUUGAUUUUACAAUAUCAGAUAUGCGGUUUUUACGACUUGUGGAUUUAACAGAUAGAUUGUGUUCUUGAGUUGGUUUAUUGUUUGUUUUAUCUUUUGUGUCUUCGACAAGUAAAUUCGUAAUGAGAUCAACUUUUUUCCGCAAAUAAGCUAUAAUUUUACGUUGCGAUUCAUUUUUCUUUUUUAGCCUGUCUAUUAUAGAAAUCAUUACCUUUCUUUUUUUGAAUUCUCUGUAUAUCUUACUUUUCUAACUGCAUAUUUAACUGCUGGACAUUCAGGGCCGUGUUGCAAAGGAUCCUCUUUUUCAGAUCUUUCCUCAGCGUCGCUUAAAAUAUUUGAGACCGGGGCUGCUUCAACCUGAACUGUUUCUGAUGUAACUUCUUUAUUUAGCGAUUCAUUUUUUCUCUGUCGGUAAUUUCUUGAAUUCUCUUUCCAUCUUCUCCUCUGUUCUCUUUGAGACCUAGGAGUUUUAUCUUUGAUCAGGAUAUUAUUUUUUUCUUCUUUUCUUUUAAGGUAUUGAUUUCUUCGUUUUUCUUUUUCAAUUGCAAGCAGCUCCGGAUCAUUUUUAAUUUCGUUAUAGCGUCUUCUUUUACAUAAGCGCUGUUUUGCUAAUCGCUGUUCUUUAGUCUGAGGCAUUUUUCUUCCUAAAAUUAAAUAUUUAAAAUGUUAAAUGUCCUUUUUAUUACGGUUAAAAACAGUCCUUUAAAUCUUAUGCAGACAUGCAAAUGUGUUACAAUAAAUUAUAGCAGCUGUGAGUUCAUCUUCCUAGCCAUUAUCCCAAACUCCAUUGGGGUCGGCUUCCAGUCUAACCAGAUACGGCUGAACAUCAGUGUUUUACACAAAGCGGCUGCCUCCUGACCUUCGCAACCCAAUGACUGGGCGAUACUAAUGUUCUAGGGUUAGACUGGUAGUCAGACUUUCUGGCUUCUGACUUACUUUACCAGUAACAAUUAUCUUAAGAUGUUCGAAAAGACAACCGGGACCGACAUUACACUUUUGAUUUAUAUAUAGAAAGUCGAGUUAGUAUAGUUAUUGUAUUAGAAAAACAUAAUAUAUAUAUUCCUUGAAAUAACACCAAGAAAAAAAUCUACACUGACGAAAAUCAUUCUUCGUAACAUGCCAUCAUUUAAGUCAACGUAUAAAUCAUUAUGCGAAACUUUGUGUCAUUCAUCACAACGACAAGUUGCUUACAAUGAUGUAGCAUAGAAUGACCAGUUGAGAUAAAAACCUGUAUAGACUUGUCUGUGAACAUAAGACCUCUGUAAUGAUUUUACUAAAUGAAAUCAUUUGUCACUGGCUAUUAAAUACAAAACAAAGCAAACUUAUACAUGUGUACAUUUAAGGAAUUUAACUUGAAACACGAAUGACAGUUUUGUUGACAAAAUGCGAAUAAAUAUCAAAAUUUACUUACAGUUCUCAGAUCCGCACGUGUUUCUCCAACUAACGUUUGCCGGCAACUGAGGCGCCCCCCCGCACACCCGAACGGGUGCAUUAAAGUUUCGUUCAGAAAUGCGUUGUUCAGUAAUAUGGUCAAACAAUGUUAGUGCGACUAAUGACGUUUUUCAUGUAACAUUAAUUCAACUUUAGUUUUAAGAUAUAUAAUCCUCAGUAAAUAAAGUUUUUUUUUUAUAUUAGAAGAAGGAGAAUUUAUUAAAGUAUUUAUACAGUCAUACACAGAUAUUUUUUUUGAGUUAUUGAAUAAUUUGCUAACAAUUUUCUGUCAACAGAAGUUUUCGGAAUAAGAGAAUAAUGACGUUUAGCAACUUUUUCGAAAUGUUGUUCAGUAAUAAAAGAAACUAUCAGUUUGUUGAACUUGGUAAAACGUGAAAUAAAGGUUAAUGUAUAUAAAAAGCUUAUCAAUUGUGUCCAAAAUUUUUAGCAUAGUGAAAGAAUUCGUCGGAAGACAUUUCUAGCACUUUUCGAAGAAUUACCCAGAGCAAGAAAUUCUUAACAGAAAGAGAGCUAGCUUCCACACAAUUGAUGGUAAUCAUCCUCAUUUGGAUAGAUUCCCACGACUCACAAUUACUGACCUUAAGCGGUUUGCUCUAGGUACAGGUAGAUAGGUACAUAUCAAUUAAAACAGGCCAGAUCUUACUUCGGGGAACAUGUUCGUCAGUCUGGAAUAUAUUCAGUGGAAGUAAAUACUGAAAUCGAUGAGGAUAUUCCUCUGAUUUUAGGCCUAAAUAAUUACAUAUUUGUUAAGAGGUAGGAUUAAAUCCAGGCAUGUGAACAGUCGUACAUAUUACACGUAUUUAUUAAUAAGCAGAGACGAUGCGGUAGCAAAUACAUUACAAGCCAUAGUAGGUUAUUGUUGCAACUACCUUGUUGGUAAGCGAACUGUUAGCUGCUGUGCUCACAUUAUGACAGUGGUGUGGUUUUUGAGUUGGGCUCGAUACAAUGAUAUCACUGCUCCAGCAUCUUAUUUAUAUGAUUUUUUUUGAUGAUUUACUUACCUACUUACUGUAAGGGUUCGAUAUACUAUUAGUGAUUAUAUACCUACCUAGGUACAUGUUUAAAGUGCUACCAGUGUCACUGGAUCAAAUAUUGCUGCUUCGACCGG